CAAUCGAUUCAACAUGUUUAGUCCUUCCACCUUUGUGAUCUCACACUCUAAUCAUAAGCUAAAAUGUUGCACACUCAAUCUUUGGAAGAAAUAUAAAAAAAUAAACAUAAAUAUAGAUAGAUUUUCUUUCCAUUGGGUUGAGCGAUCUGAUCUGACAAAUGUUUUAAAUGCUACACUCAUGUCUUAUUAUCCAUCAACUUUGUCUUGCUCACUAUGCUUAAGGUUAGAGAAGAACAAAUACACUUUUAGUUUUGUUGGUGUUUUCCACCAACAGGGCUCAUGCACUUGAUCUCUGCCUUGUCUCUAUGAGCAGGUACACUUCGAGCAAAACAUGGAGGAGUUUUACAACUCCUAGACUCUACCAAGUGAAGGACCUAGAUCUACAAGCACAAAUACACUAAGCAGGAUGCUGCCAACGCCGCACUUCGAAGUGCUGGGCAAACGAAGAACAUGGGUGACACCGUAUCAAGAGGUGCAGAUGUCAAGGUCCACACCUGAAUCAAAUGACGCACCUAAAGAAUGAACACGGUGAGAAGUCUUGUUCAGAAGACUUAAAACAUUGAACCCUCACCGAAAGGUAAAAUCGAUAGUUAUCAAUAUUUAUCCUUUCUACAUUCCCUUUUUCCUUAAAUUAUUUACUUUCCUUCAAUAGCUUGUUAGUUAAUCAUGCUAUCUUGAAAAGAAAUUAAAAAUCUUAAAAACAGUAAGCCUCAUGUGAGUAUGCUCGUGGCAUAAAACCCAUAAGUACACUCACUGUGGUGGCGUAAAAAUAAAAAUAUUCCUGUCCUAUAAAAAUGAAAAUAUAAAAAUAAAUUUAUGAUCCUACCAAAGAGAGUAAUAUUUAUUAGAGGAAGCUCAACAUGAUAACGGCUAAGAGAUUUUAUGCUAACACUUAACUAGUUCCACAAAGCUUGGUUGUCCAUUUGAGCUCCACAGAAUUCAAGGAUCAAAGAAGACUAGUAGACGGAGGACAUCCUAAUCGCUCUCAGGGUGCUGCCGACAUUCAAAUACACCUCCGCCACCUGCUAACUACAUCAGAUGAAAUUACAUCAAAAUCCAGAUUGGGGGAGAGCACCCCCAUUUAUCCAGCUAAGUGUUUCUACUCGCGUUUAUACUUUACUCAAAUAAUAAAAAUAUGCAUAAUCAUAAAAACCCAAAUAAAGAUUUUGUGCUUAUAUAUAUAUAUCUUUUCUUAGUUUGCUAAAUAAAUAAAUAAAUAAAUAAAGUUUGCUAUGAACCCUCAUGAUAAGCUCUCACAUGGAAAUGAUGAAUAGUUGCUCUGCCAUGACUAGUUCUCAAAAUUGAAAUCUCUCUCAAGUUGAGGCAUGACUGUUAUGAAUUAAGAUUUGCUCUAAACCUGAACUUGUGGGAAGAGUACUUGAUCUAAAGUCUAAGUCGUUAACGGAUACGAUAUAGGAAGGUUGAGCUAUUGUUUAUCUGUUCCUAGAGAUGCUAGAAUUCUGAAGAAUUUUAUCUUUGAAAAUCUUUAAAAUGUUGCAUGACGAGUUCCUGUAUGAUGAGUGUUUAAAAUCCUACCACAGCCAUAUAUACAUGCUUAUUAGACAUUGAACCAUACAUUUACUUUUUACUGCUUAUGAGCAUUGAGUGUGGUCAAGCUAUGUAGACCCUUAGAAGCUUGUCAUGCGGUUAAAAUCAAGAUUUACUUCCAGGUUCACUCAUACAUUCUACUUCUACUCCGGAAGUACGCGUCCACAUACAUCCACUCAAUUCCAUCUCCAGAUUCACCUAAAAUUAUUCUACUCCUAUCCGGGAGAGAAUAGCCAAAAACUUUGUCCUAUCCCUGUUAUUCCCUGUGAAAUAAAUGCUCGACUUAUCUUGGUUACAACCACUUGCUAUAUUAUUCUAGGAGGAUGAGUGCUCUGAAAAAAUAUGAAUACGAGGAAAUAAAAAGGGGCAAGUGCCUGAAACCUUGAAAAGAAAAAAAAGAAAAAAAGUGAGACGAGAGGUAAAAAUGGAAGAGUGUCCGACAGUAGAAUUAGGGGUACAAGAUACCCACCUGAGAGAAGAAAAAUAAAAUAUAGAGCAUCUCAUUCCCCUCAAAAGCCUCGAGUACAAGGAAGGUAUGUAUCCUCUCAAAAGAGCAAAAGUAGAAUUAGACUUUCACCAUUGUUUUCACCAUCAUAUCCAUACACCAUUCAUUCGCCACACAUGCACAUCUUGAUAUUGACUUAUUGACUUGUUUCUCUGGAUCCAUGGUUUGACUAUGCAAUAAAUGUCUUGUAAGUAUGUAUACUUUAUCUCCCACCUAUGAGCUCCAGAUAUCAAAGCCUUAAUAGAGUAGGAUGAGAGAGAAGGCAAUGUCACUAUGCCUCAUACCACAAAAAUACCACAUACGUUGAGAGAAGGCAUACACCAUUACUGCCUUGGUAAGGAUCCAGAAAUACCACAAAAGAGAGACUAGAGAGAGUCAUACAAGGAAUCUCUGUGUUUUAUUUGAAAAUCUGCAAAAAAACUCUAGAGCUAUAGAUGAUCAAGAACAAGAGACAUGGUGCUUUACUCGACCGUUCUAUCCUUUAACUACUCAAGACACAAGUGAUGGUUACAAGCCCCAUGGUGGAAGGUAAUAUGAGUAAGUUUAAAUCUUAAUAGUUUACCCUAACCCAGAGAUGAGAUCUUGUUUGAACGCAUGUGUAACUUUAAGGCAUGAAACCACUACAGAAACUCUUGGGUCCAUCCUUGCUUAGGGACGAGCAAGAGGUAAGCUUGGGGGAGUUGUUGACGGUCCUUAUGUAUCAAAUUUAAUCAUAAAAUAAAUAAAGAAAAGGAUCCAAAUGCAACCAACACCCAGACUUAGGGUUUUAUCUGACAGAAUUCCACGAGUUUUGGUGUUUGUCUAUUUCUGUAGGGGGUUAUCAGGAAAUAUGGAGGAAAGGCCCACACGUCGGGUUUACAUAGAAAUAUUAAUGUGUGCGGCAAUUUUCUAUCAUCUAGAAGACUCCAGAAGCCAUGGGAACGAACGGGAGGCCGAGCGGGCCCGGGGGCAGGGCACCUGCUAGGGCGCCCGCCCUACUUUUUCCACCAAUUAGGCUCUGCCUCGCGAAUUAUGCUCCACCGCCUUUGAGGAUCAAGGAAAACCGUGCGAUUAAGGUCGGUUUGAUCCAACGGCCCAUGUUCAUUUGGAAGGGCUAUAUAAGCAAGCCCCCUG
rnacentral:lncRNA from 1 species